UGCAGGGCGCCCGGCCGCUGCCCGAGGACGUGCUGCCGUUCGACGCUGCCAGCGAGGUGCCGCUGGAGCAGCAGAGGACGGAGGCCAUGCUGCGCAUUCAGGACCUGCUGCGGGCCGGCCAGCCGACCGGAGCCCUGGCAUUGAUCAGGGCCGCCAGGGAGGUGUGGCCGGCCGGGGACGUCUUCGGCGCGCCCGACAUCGCGCCCGAGGACGAGUUUCUGGCGCUGCGGGAGAUCCACU